rnacentral:tRNA from 1 species
GCUGAAGUGGUGGAAUUGGUAGACACGUUGGACUUAAAAUCCAAUGCUCCUUGGAGCGUGCGGGUUCAAGUCCCGCCUUCAGUACUA